rnacentral:rRNA from 1 species
UCGUGGAGUGAUUUGUCUGCUUAAUUGCGGUAACGAACGAGACCUUAACCUACUAAAUAGCCAGGCUAGCUUUGGCUGGUCGCCGGCUUCUUAGAGGGACUUUCGGCUCAAGCCGAAGGAAGUUUGAGGCAAUAACA